rnacentral:rRNA from 1 species
GCGGAUCUCGAAAGCCUGUCCCAGUUCGGACUGGAGUCUGNAACCCGACUCCACGAAGUUGGAUUCGCUAGUAAUCGCGCAUCAGCCAUGGCGCGGUGAAUACGUUCCCGGGCCUUGUACACACCGCCCGUCAAGCCAUGGGAGCCGGGGGCGCCUGAAGUCCGGGACCGCGAGGACCGGCCUAGGGCGAAACUGGUAACUGGGGCUAAGUCGUAACAAGGUAUC